CGUCCAGAUAAGGAUUAAGAGUAUUCAAUCAUACUUGACAUAUUCAUACCAUAAUUUAAGGAGUUUUAGUUAGAUUCAAACUUAAAUCCCAAUUAUCUCGGCCCCGUCUCCUUAUAUUCCUUCGACUUGCAGAUUGUUUCGAUUCAAGGUCAGAUCGAAGCCCUAGAAGCCCACCUUCUGCUUUGUUCGUCGCUGUUGUUGCUUCGACUGCCACUACCAUUUGCAGCUUUCACCAUGACACCUUCAAUGACCAUCUUCUCCUUCACCGCCACCAUAGAAGCACUAUGUUCUCAAAAUCCCCACUACCACUUCUCACUUCUCCAUCAUCGGUCCCUUUGUUUAACUAUCUAGAAUUCUUACUGAAAACCCUAGCCCCACCCUAAUUACUGUCGUUGUUACUUUCACCGUCACCGCCACCCACUGAACCAUUCACCACCCCCGGAGAAUUCAUCAGAUUUUCUUCAGAUACAUCAAAUCUCCAGCACAUCUCCAACUCCAUAGAGAAAAAAUAGUAAAAAUUGACACGUAUAGAUUCUUUAAUCAGAAAAAUUAUUGAUUUGUGUUGUUUGAUUUUCGAUCAGUAGAUAAGUGGAGAGAGCAGAUCAUGGUGGUCUAGGAUGCCUAUGAAGGGAAGGACUAGAAAUCUGCCUAUGUUACUUCUUCUUCUCUAUUAAUCACAUCCAUGUUUUACUAAUGAUAUUUUAAUUUAGUUGCUUUAAUUUGGAGUUUUGUUUUGAUUUUCGUAGGUUGAUGUGUAUCUAUGUGUGCAAGUAUGUAUGUAUGUGUAUUUUUGUGUGCAGGAAUUGUUUGAAGUGGAGUAAGCAAAACAGGACUGUAUGAGUGACUUUAAGGUGGAAAAGUCUUUUCUUUUACAAUCCCCUUUUGUAUGUAUAUAUUGUAGGUAUUUCAGUAAUAAGUAUAGCUGUGAGCACUUUUGGAUGGGACUUUGCCAGAGUGUUAUCUGAGAAAAACCAAUAUGAAUAUUUUUGCUA